CUAGGGAUGGGUAGGUUGGAGGUUGCCUUUACUCCCGUGGGUCCCAUCUCGCUUCUCAUUCUGUGCAGGAGGAUCCUUUGUGAGGUUGGCUGUAGAGGUGGGGGUCUGGCCCAUCAGCCUACCCUCCUGCUUACCCAGAGAAGCUAACAUUUAAUGGUACUCAUGAUGCGGGAGGCUCUGAGUGUUCAUGUUAUAUAUCCUCUCAACUGUCAAGUCCUCACUGCAGUUCUGUGGGGCUGAUGCUGUUCUUAUCCUGGCUUACAGAAGAGGAAACCGAGUCACGGCAAGUUUCUUGGAGCUUUGAUGAGGAUAGACGGCAGGUGAUCCACGGAUGCCGAAGGGAGCUUUGCCACAGGCUGGGAUGCUUGGGUAGGUCCUCCCAGCUUGGGUAGGUCCUCCCAGCUUGGGUAGGUCCUCCCAGCUUCUGCAUAGAGGGAGUACUCCGUCCUCCCCAGCUCGGCUUCUGCAAAAACCCAAGCAGGGUGACUCCAGGCCAAGGGAGCAGGGACUGUGCUGUGCGAGGUCCAGGUCUACCUCGGCUCAGGCUCCCGCUCAAAGCUGAAUAACCGGGAGUCCUUCAAGAAGGAUUUCUGAGAAGCCAUCAGGAGUGAGUCAUUGACUUAGGGAGGCGAUGAAUCAACCGGGAGUUCAUAAAACGGCAAAUGAAUCGGGUGUGAGAGAGCAACGGAGCCACCGCUAUUCCCCAGAACCCUCCAGGGACAGAGAGCCGAGAGAAAAGAAAUAAAAAUAACACGGGGCCUUAUGCCUGCUACAAACCCGAGGAGUCCUUACAAGAAAGAACACUGAUUUUGACGAACACCCAAAAUAAUGUGAGAUCAGGCUCAUGCGUUAUGCAUGAGGUCUGAUUUAACAUGAACAUUAUUUCUUGUGUACGAGACCAUAUGCCUCCGUGCUGUCUCUGCAGCCUAAUAAAACCCAGACCCACCCUGGUCAG
rnacentral:lncRNA from 1 species